GAGGGUAUAGCUCAGUGGUGGAGUGCAUGCUUAGCACGCACAAAGUUCUGGGUUCAAUUCCCAGUACCUCUG
rnacentral:tRNA from 1 species